rnacentral:rRNA from 1 species
GGUUAAGCGACUAAGCGUACACGGUGGAUGCCCUGGCAGUCAGAGGCGAUGAAGGACGUGCUAAUCUGCGAUAAGCGUCGGUGAGGUGAUAUGAACCGUUAUAACCGGCGAUUUCCGAAUGGGGAAACCCAGUGUGUUUCGACACACUAUCAUUAACUGAAUCCAUAGGUUAAUGAGGCGAACCGGGGGAACUGAAACAUCUAAGUACCCCGAGGAAAAGAAAUCAACCGAGAUUCCCCCAGUAGCGGCGAGCGAACGGGGAGGAGCCCAGAGCCUGAAUCAGUGUGUGUGUUAGUGGAAGCGUCUGGAAAGGCGUGUGAUACAGGGUGACAGCCCCGUACACAAAAAUGCACAUAUUGUGAGCUCGAUGAGUAGGGCGGGACACGUGGUAUCCUGUCUGAAUAUGGGGGGACCAUCCUCCAAGGCUAAAUACUCCUGACUGACCGAUAGUGAACCAGUACCGUGAGGGAAAGGCGAAAAGAACCCCGGCGAGGGGAGUGAAAAAGAACCUGAAACCGUGUACGUACAAGCAGUGGGAGCCUCUUAAUGGGGUGACUGCGUACCUUUUGUAUAAUGGGUCAGCGACUUAUAUUCUGUAGCAAGGUUAACCGAAUAGGGGAGCCGAAGGGAAACCGAGUCUUAACUGGGCGUUAAGUUGCAGGGUAUAGACCCGAAACCCGGUGAUCUAGCCAUGGGCAGGUUGAAGGUUGGGUAACACUAACUGGAGGACCGAACCGACUAAUGUUGAAAAAUUAGCGGAUGACUUGUGGCUGGGGGUGAAAGGCCAAUCAAACCGGGAGAUAGCUGGUUCUCCCCGAAAGCUAUUUAGGUAGCGCCUCGUGAAUUCAUCUCCGGGGGUAGAGCACUGUUUCGGCAAGGGGGUCAUCCCGACUUACCAACCCGAUGCAAACUGCGAAUACCGGAGAAUGUUAUCACGGGAGACACACGGCGGGUGCUAACGUCCGUCGUGAAGAGGGAAACAACCCAGACCGCCAGCUAAGGUCCCAAAGUCAUGGUUAAGUGGGAAACGAUGUGGGAAGGCCCAGACAGCCAGGAUGUUGGCUUAGAAGCAGCCAUCAUUUAAAGAAAGCGUAAUAGCUCACUGGUCGAGUCGGCCUGCGCGGAAGAUGUAACGGGGCUAAACCAUGCACCGAAGCUGCGGCAGCGACGCUUAUGCGUUGUUGGGUAGGGGAGCGUUCUGUAAGCCUGUGAAGGUGUGCUGUGAGGCAUGCUGGAGGUAUCAGAAGUGCGAAUGCUGACAUAAGUAACGAUAAAGCGGGUGAAAAGCCCGCUCGCCGGAAGACCAAGGGUUCCUGUCCAACGUUAAUCGGGGCAGGGUGAGUCGACCCCUAAGGCGAGGCCGAAAGGCGUAGUCGAUGGGAAACAGGUUAAUAUUCCUGUACUUGGUGUUACUGCGAAGGGGGGACGGAGAAGGCUAUGUUGGCCGGGCGACGGUUGUCCCGGUUUAAGCGUGUAGGCUGGUUUUCCAGGCAAAUCCGGAAAACCAAGGCUGAGGCGUGAUGACGAGGCACUACGGUGCUGAAGCGACAAAUGCCCUGCUUCCAGGAAAAGCCUCUAAGCAUCAGGUAACAUCAAAUCGUACCCCAAACCGACACAGGUGGUCAGGUAGAGAAUACCAAGGCGCUUGAGAGAACUCGGGUGAAGGAACUAGGCAAAAUGGUGCCGUAACUUCGGGAGAAGGCACGCUGAUAUGUAGGUGAAGCGACUUGCUCGUGGAGCUGAAAUCAGUCGAAGAUACCAGCUGGCUGCAACUGUUUAUUAAAAACACAGCACUGUGCAAACACGAAAGUGGACGUAUACGGUGUGACGCCUGCCCGGUGCCGGAAGGUUAAUUGAUGGGGUUAGCGGCAACGCGAAGCUCUUGAUCGAAGCCCCGGUAAACGGCGGCCGUAACUAUAACGGUCCUAAGGUAGCGAAAUUCCUUGUCGGGUAAGUUCCGACCUGCACGAAUGGCGUAAUGAUGGCCAGGCUGUCUCCACCCGAGACUCAGUGAAAUUGAACUCGCUGUGAAGAUGCAGUGUACCCGCGGCAAGACGGAAAGACCCCGUGAACCUUUACUAUAGCUUGACACUGAACAUUGAGCCUUGAUGUGUAGGAUAGGUGGGAGGCUUUGAAGUGUGGACGCCAGUCUGCAUGGAGCCGACCUUGAAAUACCACCCUUUAAUGUUUGAUGUUCUAACGUUGGCCCGUAAUCCGGGUUGCGGACAGUGUCUGGUGGGUAGUUUGACUGGGGCGGUCUCCUCCUAAAGAGUAACGGAGGAGCACGAAGGUUGGCUAAUCCUGGUCGGACAUCAGGAGGUUAGUGCAAUGGCAUAAGCCAGCUUGACUGCGAGCGUGACGGCGCGAGCAGGUGCGAAAGCAGGUCAUAGUGAUCCGGUGGUUCUGAAUGGAAGGGCCAUCGCUCAACGGAUAAAAGGUACUCCGGGGAUAACAGGCUGAUACCGCCCAAGAGUUCAUAUCGACGGCGGUGUUUGGCACCUCGAUGUCGGCUCAUCACAUCCUGGGGCUGAAGUAGGUCCCAAGGGUAUGGCUGUUCGCCAUUUAAAGUGGUACGCGAGCUGGGUUUAGAACGUCGUGAGACAGUUCGGUCCCUAUCUGCCGUGGGCGCUGGAGAACUGAGGGGGGCUGCUCCUAGUACGAGAGGACCGGAGUGGACGCAUCACUGGUGUUCGGGUUGUCAUGCCAAUGGCACUGCCCGGUAGCUAAAUGCGGAAGAGAUAAGUGCUGAAAGCAUCUAAGCACGAAACUUGCCCCGAGAUGAGUUCUCCCUGACUCCUUGAGAGUCCUGAAGGAACGUUGAAGACGACGACGUUGAUAGGCCGGGUGUGUAAGCGCAGCGAUGCGUUGAGCUAACCGGUACUAAUGAACCGUGAGGCUUAACCUU